UCUCUAAUUGACACGUUUCUCAGAUCUGGACUGUCUGUACAUUGUACGUUGAGUCUGGUUUCAAGUUACAAUGGUCCAGAAAAGACCAUCGUAUGUUGAAACUAUUGUAUGUUGAGGCCAUUGUAAGUUGAGGGAUCGCUGUAUUGUUUAUUAGCUAUUUAUUCCGUAGGGUCAUAAAGUGGAAGCGAUGAUCAAAAGCUGAUGGGGCCACCGACACCACUACAAGAUGUUCCUUAAACAUAUAGAUGAAACGUUCUCAUAUCCUUUUUGCUGGGCCCGGACACACAAGGGGUUGGCUGAAGACAAACACAGAAUAUUGACUCUCUUCUAUAGGAGCGGUGCACUCCCGCUGUUCUCUUUCAAUUUUGCGGGAUGUUUAUUUGUCUACCUCAAACCACGCAAUGUCUUAAAAGAAAGAGAAACCGAGCACCCUGCUACGUCUCAGCUGCUGCAAAGUGGAAGAAUGCUACCAAAAUAAACACGUCAAG